rnacentral:rRNA from 1 species
UACGUAGGUUGCAAGCGUUGUCCGGAAUUAUUGGGCGUAAAGCGCGCGCAGGCGGUUAUGUAAGUCUGAUGUUAAAGCCCGGGGCUCAACCUCGGUUCGCAUUGGAAACUGUGUAACUUGAGUGCAGAAGAGGAAAGUUGUAUUCCCCGUGUAGCGGUGAAAUGCGUAGAUAUGUGGAGGAACACCAGUGGCGAAGGCGACUUUCUGGUCUGUAACUGACGCUGAGGCGCGAAAGCGUGGGGAGCAAACAGG